CCUACGGGGGACAGCAGUGAGGAAUAUUGGUCAAUGGCCGGAAGGCUGAACCAGCCAAGCCGCGUGAAGGACGAAGGUGCCAAGCAUUGUAAACUUCUUUUGUCAAGGGACAAAAUCAGGCUCGAGAGCCUGACCGAGGGUACUUGAAGAAAAAGCAUCGGCUAACUCCGUGCCAGCAGCCGCGGUAAUACGGAGGAUGCGAGCGUUAUCCGGAUUUAUUGGGUUUAAAGGGUGCGUAGGCGGGCUGUUAAGUCAGCGGUAAAAGCCCGGGGCUCAACCUCGGCGAGCCGUUGAAACUGGCUGUCGUGAGAUGUCGAGAGGUAUGCGGAAUGCGCAGUGUAGCGGUGAAAUGCUUAGAUAUUGCGCAGAACUCCGAUUGCGAAGGCAGCAUACCGGCGGCGAUCUGACGCUGAGGCACGAAAGCGUGGGUAUCGAACAGGAUUAGAUACCCGGGUAGUC
rnacentral:rRNA from 1 species